rnacentral:rRNA from 1 species
UUCCCAUUCCGAACAGAGAAGUUAAGCCCCUCAUGGCCGAUGGUACUGCACAAUCAUGCGGGAGAGUAGGUAGCUGCCAUAU